UACGGGAGGCAGCAGUGGGGAAUAUUGCACAAUGGGCGCAAGCCUGAUGCAGCCAUGCCGCGUGUAUGAAGAAGGCCUUCGGGUUGUAAAGUACUUUCAGUCGUGAGGAAGGUGUUAAGGUUAAUAACCUUAGCAAUUGACGUUAGCGACAGAAGAAGCACCGGCUAACUCCGUGCCAGCAGCCGCGGUAAUACGGAGGGUGCGAGCGUUAAUCGGAAUUACUGGGCGUAAAGGGCACGCAGGCGGUUAAUUAAGUUGGAUGUGAAAUCCCCGGGCUUAACCUGGGAAUGGCAUUCAAGACUGGUUAGCUAGAGUCUUGUAGAGGGGGUAGAAUUCCAUGUGUAGCGGUGAAAUGCGUAGAGAUGUGGAGGAAUACCGGUGGCGAAGGCGGCCCCUGGAUAAAGACUGACGCUCAUGUGCGAAAGCGUGGGGAGCAAAC
rnacentral:rRNA from 1 species